AGCGAAGCCUGCACCGUCUCGGCCGCGGAGAAGGCGAGCAGCGAGCCCUCUUUGGCCAGGAAGCCUUUGCCGUCCUCCGCGUCAGCCUGCAGCGCCUCCGCCUUGUCGAAGUUACCGCCGCCGGGCAGCGGCUGCGGCGCGAACUUGCGGGCCGCUGCCGCCUCCUGGUGCUGGGGCGACGCGGAGAAGCCGCCGGGGAGCGUGGCCAUGAGCGUAGAGGGAGGAUGCACGAUUUCUGUCCCAGUGGGAAGGGAUGGCCUUCCAGUGGACGUGACCUCCCCUGCAUGGGGUCGGAAGGAUGAGAUGGCAAAGGUGAGCAGAGGAGGUGCAGCCCUGGCUGGGAGGAUCCUGUUGGGAUGGGGAUGCUGACUGUAGAGCGUGGGGGGCUCAGCCUCAGUGAGCCCAGCAGGAUGUUGGGCAUCUCAGGUCCAUCCUUGCAGGAGAGCAGGUGCCUUCACAAGGGCACAGGCCAGUUGCCUGUUUAAGAGAAUUCUGACUGAUGGCCAUUCUCCUGCCUAAUGCCUGCCUCAGCAGGGUAUGUUCUGUGCUUUCCCCCAAUGUCUGCUGGGGCUAAAAUUUUCAGUUCCU
rnacentral:lncRNA from 1 species